GACGAACGCUGGCGGCGUGCUUAACACAUGCAAGUCGAACGGAAAGGCCUGUCCUUCCUUGUGUUGGACGGGUACUCGAGUGGCGAACGGGUGAGUAACACGUGAGUGAUCUGCCCCCAACUUGGGUAUAAGCCUGGGAAACUGGGUCUAAUUCCCGAUAGGACUGCAGGGUGGUGCCUGUGGUGGAAAACGAUUUUCUAGUGGUUGGGGAUGAGCUCGCGGCCUAUCAGCUUGUUGGUGGGGUAAUGGCCUACCAAGGCGGCGACGGGUAGCCGGCCUGAGAGGGUGGACGGCCACAUUGGGACUGAGAUACGGCCCAGACUCCUACGGGAGGCAGCAGUGGGGAAUAUGACACAAUGGGCGGAAGCCUGAUGCAGCGACGCCGCGUGGGGGAUGACGGCCUUCGGGUUGUAAACUCCUUUCGACCGCGAGGAAGCCGCCUGGUUGGAAGGGUGGUGACGGUAGUGGUAGAAGAAGCACUGGCUAACUACGUG
rnacentral:rRNA from 1 species